UACGGAGGGUGCAAACGUUGCUCGGAAUCAUUGGGCGUAAAGCGCACGUAGGCGGACUGCUAAGUCGGACGUGAAAGCCCUCCGGCUUAACCGAGGAAGUGCAUUCGAAACUGGCAGUCGUUGAGUACGGGAGAGGGUCGCGGAAUUCCCGGUGUAGAGGGUGAAAUUCGAUAGAUAUCGGGAAGGAACACCAGUGGCGAAGGCGGCGGCCUGGACCGAUACUGACGCUGAGGUGCGAAAGCGUGGGGAGCAAACAGG
rnacentral:rRNA from 1 species